rnacentral:rRNA from 1 species
GGAUCAUUGUCGAAAUCGAACGGAAAAACGACCCGCGAAUCGUCAUUGCGUAGUAGACAGAGCUCGUGAGCAGCUAACGCUCAUGGGGCUCGCGUCGCGUCGGCGCGGGUGUACUCGAGACCCGCGUCGUACCGACGGACAAACAACGUCAGCACGGAUCGUGCCAAGGAGCCGCAUGGAGAGAAUCGUCGUCCCACGCCUUUGAUAGUCCCCGAUGUGGGACGGGGGACGUACGCAAUCUCUAAUCAAGUCUAAACGACUCUCGGCAACGGAUAUCUCGGCUCUUGCAUCGAUGAAGAACGUAGCGAAAUGCGAUACUUGGUGUGAAUUGCAGAAUCCCGUGAACCAUCAAUUCUUUGAACGCAAGUUGCGCCCGAAGCCACACAGGCCGAGGGCACGCCUGCCUGGGUGUCGUGAAUCCCCUUGCCCCUGGGCACCCGCACGAGCAUCGGCGGGGAUAUACGCUGGGGCGCAGAAUAUGGCCUCCCGUGGGAUCGGCAUGCACGGCAUGUCGAGGUGCGGUUGGCCGAAAAUCGAGCAUGGCGGUGACGGGCACCACGGCGUUCGGUGGAUCGAAUGAGAUUGGCUGCGCCGUGGGCUCGGCAUGCGGCGGGUCCGGACUUUGAAUUUCCCCGAGUGCGAUCCCAGGUCAGGCGGGGCUACCCGCUGAGUUUAAGCAUAUCAAUAAGCGGAGGAAAAGAAACUAACGAGGAUUCCCUUAGUAGCGGC